GGAUCGAGCUGAGCCGGAGCUGCUCCUACUGACUAUGACUGGACAGCAGUGGACUCUUUCUCAAAGUCUGACCCUGCCACCUAUAUUUGAUUUGAUGAAGCAACCAUCACUGAAGCAAUUGAUUUUGUAGCCAGCUCAACUCCAUUUAAAAGGUUAGUAGCGAAAGGUAAGGCUUCAUUCCCGAGUGGACGAGAAGAAGGAGCAACCCCUCUUAAGUUAAGGGAAGAGAAGAAAGGCUAUUUUACUAGACUAGCUACCGAGCUGACUCAAGGAAGCCGGAAAGAAAGGGCUUCAAGACAGCUUCGGCAACAGAAAGUCGAGCUGAGGAAUACGGAAGAGAAGCGGAUUCAACUCAAUCUUAGCCUAAGAGCAGAGCAGUUCAGAGAAGAGAAUCAAAGGUCAACGGCCAAUGGAGGAUUUAUCCCUCCCCCGGAUUCAUCUUAAACCGACCGACCGAUAUGCCGAGAUGACAUCCAGCUCAAAAAAGAGCAAGAAAAGGAAUGGUCUCCGUGCAGCUUCAAGUCACGCCACUCUCACCAAGAUAGAAUCAUGGUCACAUCUGUAGUCUAUAUAUAGUUUAUAGAAGCGGAAUGCCAAUCGACACUGUAAUGGUAGCCAUCGGGAUUGAGUUCAGCUGCUUUUGACGAGACUGACGAAUGAGUAAACGGAAGAAUGAAUCAGAUGAGCUCCAGUCUGGACUCUCAUUGGUCAAAAAGGCGCAACGGGCCAAGAGAGAAUAAAAGGACACCAGAAGAGCAAGAAAAAGAGCUGUAUGAUAAGAGUCCUUAUCCUACCCACCCUUUUAAGUUUAUGGGAGUAGCAAGAACAGCUCCAUUUAAAAGGUUAGCCGCGUACCAAAGAGCUCGAUCAGCUAUUCUAUUUUUCAGUCCGGUUGACGCCACUCGAUAGGAAUAAAAGAGCAGACAGGUUUUUCGAAGGCUUCAAGCCCUGUUUCAGCUGAGAGCAUUGAUUCCCCUGGCACCUCUCUUCCACAGCUUGGCACGUUUAAAGAAGGUGCCUACACUCAAGUGUACAAAGUGGCAUAAAGUGAUUCUUUUCGGGUUCGGUCAGGAGGGACAAAAGAGAGAUGCUUUCUAUCAGUCAAAAGCAGAUACCGCCCCCCCUCAUGCUCCCGCGGUCCGCUUACCGAGGAAGAUAAAGGGAGGACCGGGGGCCAGAGCAAGUUGGGUUGGGGUAUAGAGCCGUAAGCGCGGGGGGGGGUUAAAGAGGACGUGCUCGUACGGUUCAAAGAAGGGUAUGAUCAACUCGUUGAUUGUUGGGAACUUUCACUCCUCUAUAUUCGAAAUAUGCCUUUCUAGGAGCAUUACGAUCUGCAGCUCAAAUGGUCUCUUAUGAAGUCUCUAUUGGUCUUAUUCUUAUUGUGCGCCUUGUGAGCGCGUUUGGAUCCGCGAAGGCAAUCGCUCGGAUGUUCCCCUAACCCAACCCGGGAACGGACCGGAGGGAACCGCAGCAUGGGGAAUGUCCGCGUCUCGUCGCAAGGCUCAUUGUUAGUUUUUGGUCAUAGGGCGGGCGGAUUUAUCUGAUCAAGGGCCGGGGCACAAGGGUCCUGGUACUAUCCAGGUGCGAAGAACCCCGGAGGUGACUGCAAUGAGCAGAAAUAUAACUCACCGGCCUAAACGACGAGCAAACACUCGAACGUGAGAGCAAGGGAUCACCUAACGAAUGGACGAGCUCCAAGGAGGGAGGAAAGAGGAAGGCAAGAACCAUGCUUUCAGAAAAGUGGCGGUCCGAAUCUUAUCUGAACUGCGAGAAUAACUGACUAAGCCAUGCCAUAAGGGUCAUUCUCCAAACGGGACGGGGUCAAGCCUUUAGGUUUUUUAGUAGGUUGGGUGACAGAUCGGCCAUAGGAGUACUCCGGGAUAUAAACCAGGGCAACCAAUGAAUGUCGAGCAUACGACGAUGCCGCCCGUUUUAAUUUCGUGGAAGUCCCCGGCAGAGGAAAGGGCUGUAGGUGAUGGCGCGUUCUGCUUCUUAGGAAGAGAGGGGCGCUGAAAUCGUUCCUAUUGAUUGGGUCGUGCGUGGCAGCUGGUAUAGAUGAAUAAAGGCGGGGCCGCUUGAAGGGGACCUUUUUUAUUAUUUUAUAGGCGGCAAAGCUGAAUAGGAAAGGGGCCGAGCUGACUGAUGAGUGCCUUUUUAGCCUUAAAAAAAAGGGCUCUCAUGUGAAGCUAACAUGGCUGGCUACAUAAAGAUAAGUAUAGCCAAAUCAAGAUGAGACGUGACGGACGGUCAGAGGCCGCAGCGGGACUAUCAUAGGAAAGCCCGCCCCCGCUAGCUAACAUAGAAAGAGAUUCCCGGAUAGCAAAAGUAUCUAUGUGAAUCUCUUCCCGACCAGGCCAGGCCGAAUCGGGCCACCACUUGGGAUGGGAAUGGCUCAGCCCAUAUGCAUCAUUUGAUGAAAGCACUCCAGUCGCUUCCUUCCUCGAAGUGGCUUGUCAACCACGCUUUCCCUCUCCCUCAAAACAAUGCUCCUCACCAACCCAAGGCCCGGCCUUUGGUUGGGUUGGGGCAAGAAAGCAAUGAGUAGUUAGCUCCAGGACCCCACCCCCUAAAAAAAGAGCAGGAUGCCGGCCGAGAUGGAGCUGGGAGCCAACCUAUACUUUCCUGGGGCUUGCCUUGCCCCAACAUCUAAAGAAAAUGCGGGCGCCGAAAAGGAACCAGCCCAGCCUCUUCAAGAAAGCUUUGCUUGGUAGGCGCUGCCUAUUCACUCGGACAAUGCUCUAAACACGAAAGUGCCCCCUUCUCCCAUGCUGAGUCACAGGCAGCGCCUCGGAAAGCCCUAUAGGAAAGGCGAGCCACAUGCAGGGAAACUUGCACGUGUGGUUCUGGCCGGGGACCCCGGU